rnacentral:lncRNA from 1 species
GACCGCACCUCACCGCCGCCGCCGCUCGCGAUAAGCCGUCGCUGCCGAUUCCUCCCGAUCCCUCAGCCCACCGCCGCCACCCGAUCCCUCAACCCACCGCCGCCAGUGAGCCGUGCGCACCUUCUUCUCCGGCUGAGGCGUGCAGUCGCGCCGCCGUCCCUCCGCCUUGCUGAUCUCCUCCGGCAACGCGCGGCCGCCUCAAGCACCACCCGCCGUCUCUCCGAAUCGCACUCACGCGAAUGCUUAGUUGUCUGGGACAACAAGCUAAAUUGGAUAAGGCAGGGACAUCAAUUUCCACCUCGCCGAUCUUGCGGCGCCGUUGAUACCGUAGAACGUCUAUUUCACCUGCGCUGCCCAUGUUGUCAUCCACGACCACACUGCAUCUCCGUCCUCGACCUCCGCCUGUCACUGACGACCAUCCAGGAAAGUCUCCCUCGCAGCGAAUUUAUGAUAACUAAAAUUUCAUAUUAUAGUGAUAACGAUGCUGAAAUUUCUUAUAUCAACGGAGUUCUAUAUUCCGUAACUCGCCGCGUUUGGUGUCUACGUUUGGACUAUAUCUUACUGAUUUACAUUAGGGGCUAA